GGGGCCGCAGAUCGGGCAGCCUUCUGAGAAUCCGUAGGCAAGCGAGUAAACUCCAUUUACCAUCCGUUCUUCUUGCUAAUAUGCAAUCAUUGGAAAAUAAUAUUGAUAACCUACGAUUAAGAUUAUCCUACCAACGGGAUAUAAAAAAACUAACAUCUUAUGUUUCACCGAGAUGUUGCUGAACGACGAUAUGGACAGUAUAGAGCUAGCGGGAUUGUCCAUGAACUGGCAGAACAGAGAUGCUACCUCUGGUUUUUCCAAUGGCAGGGACUGGGAGACUAGUCAGGAUCGAGGGAAAGAUUAACGGAGCAAAGUACAGAGAGAUCCUUAAUGAAAGCCUAAUCCAGAGCCCUGAGGACCUCAAGACUGGGGCAAAGGUUCACCUUCCAACAGAACAACGACCCUAAGCACACAGCCAAGGCAACGCAGGAGUGGCUUCAGGACAAGUCUCUAAAUGUCCUUGAGUGGCCCAGCCAGAGCCAAGACUUGAACCCGAUUGAAUAUCUCUGGAGAGACGUGUAAAUUGAGAGGAUCUGCAGAGAACAAUGGGAGAAACUCCCCAAAUACAGGUGUGCCAAGCUUGUAGCGUCAUACCCAAGAAGACUCAAGGCUGUAAUCGCUGCCAAAGGUGCUUCAACAAAGUACUGAGUUAAGGGUCUGAACACCUACGUGAUAUUUCAGGUGUUUUAUUAUUAAUACAUUUGCAAAAAUUCCUACAAAUCUGUUUGCUUUGUCAUUAGGGGGUAUUGUGUGUAGAUUAAAGGACAAACAUUUAUUGAAUCAAUUUUAGAAUAAGGCUGUAACCUAACAAUGUUGAAAAAGUGAAGGGGUCUGAAUACUUUCCGAAGGCACUGUAUAAGCAAAAUUGAAAUUAGGAUUACACUGAAUGUAAUCUAAGGAUUAGUUAAAUUACCCAGCUGCUUGAUCAAUCCCUCAACCCAAUGUGCUGGGUUGUUUUAACCCAGCUAUAUAGACUAAUUUACCAGCAGCUGGGUCAAGCGCUUAACCCAAGGGGCAUGGUGUUUGACCAAUAUUGACUCACUGUAAAAAUGUAUAUUGGAAAAAUAAUAUGAAUUGCCGUAUUAGGCAAAACUCAAUUUCUACCUUUUUAAGAUGCCAAAAUAAAAAAAUUCAGUAUCCUG